rnacentral:rRNA from 1 species
UACGUAGGGGGCAAGCGUUGUCCGGAUUUAUUGGGCGUAAAGAGCUCGUAGGUGGUUUGUCGCGUUGUCCGUGAAAACUCACAGCUCAACUGUGGGCGUGCGGGCGAUACGGGCAGACUGGAGUACUGCAGGGGAGACUGGAAUUCCCGGUGUAGCGGUGAAAUGCGCAGAUAUCGGGAGGAACACCAAUGGCGAAGGCAGCUCGCUGGGACGGUACUGACGCUGAGACGCGAAAGCGUGGGGAGCAAACAGG